rnacentral:rRNA from 1 species
UGGGGAAUAUUGGACAAUGGGGGGAACCCUGAUCCAGCCAUGCCGCGUGUGUGAAGAAGGCCUUAUGGUUGUAAAGCACUUUAAGCGAGGAGGAGGGUACUGGUAUUAAUACUACCAGGUACUGGACGUUACUCGCAGAAUAAGCACCGGCUAACUCUGUGCCAGCAGCCGCGGUAAUACAGAGGGUGCGAGCGUUAAUCGGAUUUACUGGGCGUAAAGCGUGCGUAGGCGGCUAAUUGAGUCGGGUGUGAAAUCCCCGAGCUUAACUUGGGAAUUGCAUUCGAUACUGGUUAGCUAGAGUGUGGGAGAGGAUGGUAGAAUUCCAGGUGUAGCGGUGAAAUGCGUAGAGAUCUGGAGGAAUACCGAUGGCGAAGGCAGCCAUCUGGCCUAACACUGACGCUGAGGUACGAAAGCAUGGGGAGCAAACAGG